CUUCAAUAUUACUCUUUUAAAGCGGAAAAUAUAGCGAAACAACAAAAAUCAGAAUUUUGGCAAUACACGUGACGUCACAGAUUGCAACUAGGUUUAGACUGUGACGUCAGAAAGUUUCCUAUCCAGUUAUUUUACAAUCCAUGGUGAAAUCCACUUGCGUCAGCGGCGAAAUAUCGUGCUUGUCGCCUGCGAGCGUGUCACAACGAGCUCAAGCAAGCGACAUUUUUGUCAACACGGGCGUCACCCGAAAAUUGGUAUCACUAAUUUUGGUGACAUUUUGUAUCAUGGCGCUCGUGUAAGUAUGCAAAAC